ACCGAAGCAGGAACCUGCCUUUGUGAAAUGGGGACAAUAAAAACAUUUCCCCCUUCACUGCCCCACCCUUGUCUCUCCACUUACGAGGCUGGCGGGAGCGCUCGUUAGCCUGUAAACUGCUUCUGGUCUUCCUUGGAGAGUGACAUCUGAUGGAGACUCAGGCCAGUGAAGGUGGAAAUAGCGUGAGGCUCAGUCUUGGAGAACGAGUGGUCCUGGGAUCGAUAUUUGUGCCUGAAUCCACGAGUCGAAUGAGGUUGUUCCAGGCCUGAAAGGGACGCACAAGACUUCUGUUAACAUCUCAGUGGCAAAAAUUCAUCUUUGGCUACAUCUGGGCAUAGGAGGCGCUGGAAAAAGGAAUGCAUGUUUGAGCAGCUGUCUUUUAUCAACAACUUCACACUGUGGAAGAGGAAACAUGAUUUUUGGUGGGCCGAUAGCCAUCUCUUUUGUAAAAGUAUCAUCAUCAUCAUCCCCAUUUUUGGAUGGGGAAACUGAGGCUCCAGUGCUGAAGUAACUCACCCAAGGUCUGUAGCUGGAAGAUCAGCCCUGAGCUAACAUCUGCUGCCAAUCCUCCUCUUUUUGCUGAGGAAGACUGGCCCUGAGCCAACGUCCGUGCCCAUCCUCCCCUGCUUUAUAUGUGGGACGCCUACCACAACAUGGCUUGCCAAGUGGUGGCAUGUCCGCACCCAGGAUCCGAACUGGCGAACCCUAGGCCACUGAGAAGUGGAACGUCCACACUUAACCACUGCGCCACCGGGCCGGCCCCCCAAUCCAUUUCAUUUGAUGCAUGGCCCUCCAUGAGGCUAUUUGGAAUGGCUACAUAUCAUUCUGUGGUAUGACAACAUCCUAGUUUAUUUGCAAAACCCCUGAUCGGUGGACAUUUGGGUUGUUUACCACUUUUCCCAUGAUAACAAAUGCCAUAAUGAUUAUUUUUGAGCUUACAGUUGGGUCAACCGGCAUGCACAUUUUUAAAGUGUGACUUAUUUUCCAC
rnacentral:lncRNA from 1 species